rnacentral:rRNA from 1 species
AGUGAACGCUGGCGGUAGGCCUAACACAUGCAAGUCGAACGGCAGCACAGUAAGAGCUUGCUCUUACGGGUGGCGAGUGGCGGACGGGUGAGGAAUACAUCGGAAUCUACUUUUUCGUGGGGGAUAACGUAGGGAAACUUACGCUAAUACCGCAUACGACCUACGGGUGAAAGCAGGGGAUCUUCGGACCUUGCGCGAUUGAAUGAGCCGAUGUCGGAUUAGCUAGUUGGCGGGGUAAAGGCCCACCAAGGCGACGAUCCGUAGCUGGUCUGAGAGGGUGAUCAGCCACACUGGAACUGAGACACGGUCCAGACUCCUCCGGGAGGCAGCAGUGGGGAAUAUUGGACAAUGGGCGCAAGCCUGAUCCAGCCAUACCGCGUAGGUGAAGAAGGCCUUCGGGUUGUAAAGCCCUUUUGUUGGGAAAGAAAAGCAGCAGGUUAAUACCCCGCUGUUCUGACGGUACCUAAAGAAUAAGCACCGGCUAACUUCGUG